rnacentral:rRNA from 1 species
AUUGAACGCUGGCGGCAUGCUUUACACAUGCAAGUCGAACGGCAGCGGGGAGGAGCUUGCUUCUCUGCCGGCGAGUGGCGAACGGGUGAGUAAUACAUCGGAACGUGUCGAGAAGAGGGGGAUAACCACCCGAAAGGGUGGCUAAUACCGCAUAAAUUCUGCGGAAGAAAGCUGGGGACCUAGGAAUAGGCCUAGCGCUUUUUGAGCGGCCGAUGUCGGAUUAGCUAGUUGGUGAGGUAAAGGCUCACCAGGGCGAAGAUCUGUAGCGGGUCGGAGAGGAUGAUCCGCCACACUGGGACUGAGACACGGCCCAGACUCCUACGGGAGGCAGCAGUGGGGAAUGUUGGACAAUGGGGGCAACCCUGAUCCAGCCAUGCCGCGUGUAUGAAGAAGGCCUUAGGGUUGUAAAGUACUUUUGUUAGGGAAGAAAAGUCAGCUGUGAAUAAUGGCUGAUACUGACGGUACCUAAAGAAUAAGCACCGGCUAACUACGUG